rnacentral:lncRNA from 1 species
GGAAAACUUAGAGGUUUAACUCUUGGAAAUCCAUAAAAAGAGUUCAUGGUGGGAUUGAGGUUUGGUUUGCUUUACUUCUCUCAUUUUUUUAAUCUUUAAUCUCUUCUCUGGGCUCUGAAAGAGCCCGAAGCCCAGGGAAAGAGAUUUUUGGAUUUUAUUUCUUUUGUUUUAUCAUCUGAUGCCUCUGAAUCUUAUUCAAGAUCUAGUGCUUUCUCCUUUUUUCUCAGCUUUGUUC